UACGGAGGAUGCAAGCGUUAUCCGGAAUGAUUGGGCGUAAAGCGUCCGCAGGUGGCUGUGUAAGUCUGCUGUCAAAGAGCGAAGCUCAACUUCGUAAAGGCAGUGGAAACUACACGGCUAGAGUGCGUUCGGGGCAGAGGGAAUUCCUGGUGUAGCGGUGAAAUGCGUCAGAGUAUCAGGAAGGAACACCGGUGGCGAAGGCGGCUC
rnacentral:rRNA from 1 species